UACAGAGGUCUCAAGCGUUGUUCGGAUUCAUUGGGCGUAAAGGGUGCGUAGGCGGCGCGGUAAGUCGGGUGUGAAAUCUCGGAGCUUAACUCCGAAACUGCAUUCGAUACUGCCGUGCUUGAGGACUGGAGAGGAGACUGGAAUUUACGGUGUAGCGGUGAAAUGCGUAGAGAUCGGGAGGAAUACCUGUGGCGAAGGCGGCCUACUGGGCCGGACCUGACGCUGAGACGCGAAGGCGUGGGGAGCGAACGGGG
rnacentral:rRNA from 1 species